CCGUGCUGUUGCUGCCUGUUGCUGUGCGUGCGCGCUGCAUUGAGGCAGGUCGAUGUGGAUGUUUAAUCGUGUGUACGCUGUGCCGAGAGAAAAUGUCGUGCCCCUUGUGUGCUUUGAUGAUCACCUAACCCCUGGGACCGCGUAACGUAGCUCGCAGUACCUUUCGCGUGGUUCGCCGAUGUCGAUUAUCGUAGUUAUGGCCCGCUUGCGCUUUCUUUGUUCCCGGCCUCUGAUAAUAUCGCAUCGGAUCACAGUGCACGGAAGAAUUUGUUGAGCUAUUACGUGCUGUAGUUCAUCCGCAAUUCAACAGUGUUUACGUCGGAAGGAUCGUCGUGCAGUCGACGCCGCGACCUGACAUGAAGGAGCGUUUGCCGACUACGCCUAGAAAGGGAUGUCAAGAUUUCGUGAACCAGAGGCAUCUCUACACCGCAUAGGAACCUAAGACAUUUCUGCAGCCGGAACAGCACGGCAAAUCAUCUGAUCUGCAUGAUGCGACAAGGUAUGGCUCGGCCUGGUGAUGAAGUGUAAGCAGAACAUGCUAUGCUGCGAAUUGGUGCCAAUCUUCACAUCCGAGUUGUUCCCACGACAGUCAAGCACUACUGUGAUUUGCUUCAUUGGCAAGGUAAUAUACUAUGGGUGCCCUGCAAGCUCUCACCAAAGCAACACAUUCCACUGGUUUUCUGUCAGAGUACCAUUAUAGAAUUUCAAAUAAACUAUGCUUGUCAGAUGUGCGACAUGCCCCGUCUUAAAAUCAGAGCGCUUCAGUAAUAAUGUUUGAAUGGGUGUACAUAAAAACACACGUAAAGUAUACUUAUGUCUUUCUUUUACAAGUCCUCUUCACCCGACAUUUUUCCAACUUAAAAUUACGCUUUGCUGUACAUUUGUUUUAUGCACAAACCAUUACAGCAACACAACACUGCAGUAAAAUGAGUACAAAUGAUAAAGCAUGCAGUACACCUGCAAGAAUUACAUUUGCAUACUUGUAGUACAUAUGAAAAUGA